CAGUGGGUGCAAGGAGUUUGGUUUGUGUCUGCCGGCCGGCAGGCAAACGCAACCCACGCGGUGGGGGAGGCGGCUAGCGUGGUGGACCCAGGCCGCGUGGCCCUGUGGCAGCCGAGCCAUGGUUUCUAAACUGAGCCAGCUGCAGACGGAGCUCCUGGCGGCCCUGCUCGAGUCAGGGCUGAGCAAAGAGGCACAGAGUGUGCCGGUCAUCAACAGCAUGGGCAGCAGCCUGACCACCCUGCAGCCCGUCCAGUUCUCCCAGCCGCUGCACCCCUCCUACCAGCAGCCGCUCAUGCCACCUGUGCAGAGCCACGUGACCCAGAGCCCCUUCAUGGCCACCAUGGCUCAGCUGCAGAGCCCCCACGGUGAGCGCCCUGUGCCCCACACAGCUGGAGAUGAUGAUAGAGGUUGGCUGUCAAUGGAUGCAGGGGAAAGGGGUACCUGGCAGGCGUUGCAGUCUGCAUGUGUCUCUGGGACAAGUGUGUUUCCGUGACUGAGGGUGUCUGCAGGCCAGUGUGUUCCCAUGUGAAUGCACGUAUCUGUGUGUGUGCACGACUGCUUGUGUGAGCAGAUCCCUAGUGC
rnacentral:sRNA from 1 species